rnacentral:rRNA from 1 species
GACAGAGGGUGCAAACGUUGUUCGGAAUUACUGGGCGUAAAGCGUGUGUAGGCGGCUCGGAAAGUCGGGUGUGAAAGCCCUGGGCUUAACCCAGGAAGUGCACUCGAAACUUCCGAGCUGGAGUCCUGGAGAGGAAGGCGGAAUUCUCGGUGUAGAGGUGAAAUUCGUAGAUAUCGAGAGGAACACCUGCGGCGAAGGCGGGUUGCUGGGCUGACACUGACGCUGAUGCGCGAAAGCUAGGGGAGCGAACGGG